rnacentral:rRNA from 1 species
UAUCUCUGUAGAGUCUGCAUAUCAAUAAGCGGAGGAAAAGAAACUAACAAGGAUUCCCUUAGUAACGGCGAGUGAAGCGGGAAGAGCUCAAAUUUGAAAUCUUCAAGGUUUUACCUUGACGAAUUGUAGUUUAAAGAAGUGUUUUCUGUUGGAGUUUCGGUAAAAGUUCUUUGGAAUAGGACAUCAUAGAGGGUGAGAAUCCCGUAUUUGACCGUUAUUUUCAGCUGUGUGAUACACUUUCAAAGAGUCGGAUUGUUUGGGAAUGCAGUCCAAAAUGGGUGGUAAAUUUCAUCUAAAGCUAAAUAUUGGCGAGAGACCGAUAGCGAACAAGUACCGUGAGGGAAAGAUGAAAAGAACUUUGAAAAGAGAGUUAAACAGUACGUGAAAUUGUCAAAAGGGAAGCGUUUGACACCAGUGUUGUUUUCUCGAAAAUCAAUUAAAAAUGGCUUGAUUUUGUGUUGUAUUGACCUUAAAAGCUUUCUUCACUUUUUUCAUGUCUUUUUUAAUGCACUUUUCGUUUAACAAGUCAACAUCAGUUUCUUUUGUUGUAAAAAGGUCAUUGGAAGGUGGCUUUCUUUUCGGAGAAAGUGUUUAUAGCCUUUGACUCCUGCAAUCGGAGAGACUGAGGUCUGCAGCGUAGAUCCUUCUUGGAUUAGAUUCAUUUGUGCUAAGUUAUAGCUUUUCAUAGACAACUUGUUGGCUAUGUUUAGUCUUGUAGCUUACUCGCUUAUGUAAUUUUACCUACGCUUAGGAUGUUGAACGCGCACAGAGUCUC